CAAACCAAAGCUGGCGACCGGCGCACGGGUGAGUAACACGUAUCCAACCUGCCUCAUACUCGGGGAUAGCCUUUCGAAAGAAAGAUUAAUAUCCGAUAGCAUAUAUUUCCCGCAUGGGUUUUAUAUUAAAGAAAUUCGGUAUGAGAUGGGGAUGCGUUCCAUUAGUUUGUUGGGGGGUAACGGCCCACCAAGACUACGAUGGAUAGGGGUUCUGAGAGGAAGGUCCCCCACAUUGGAACUGAGACACGGCCAA
rnacentral:rRNA from 1 species